rnacentral:lncRNA from 1 species
AAGAGCCUGGCACCUCCCUCCUAUCGAUUUUCUUGCUGCUUUGUCUUGCUUCCUCGCUUACCAUGUGAUCUCUGCACAUGCUGGUUCUCCUUCACCUUCACCCACAAGUGGAAACAGCCUGAGGCCCUCACCAGAAAUAGCUGCUGGUACCAUGCUUCUUGUACAGCCUACAGAACUAGGUUGGAAAAGUGAGGUCCAGAGAGGCUUAGCUGGCUGAGUGUGACUGAGAAGAAAAGGCUUGGGGCUGCAAACUCCACAGAGAUAAAGUCCACAGACAGUUUGCUCAUUUCGGAAGAAAGCUCCUGACUGAGGUUCUUUAGAUGCGUUUAACGGAGGGACAGCUGUGCAGAAGCAUCACUGUCUCACUCUUUUCCAGACUGAUCAAAUGAAGCGUCUGUCAUGUCACACAUAUGGAGUUCUCUACCAACAGCAAAGGCUAUUUAGUCAAGGUUAGAAACAAAUAUUGUGUUGGAUUUUUGCUUAUGAUAUGUUUUGGAUUUUUCUUUGAAGCUCUGAUUUGAAAGAUAUACAGAAAGAUAUGGCUUGAGGGAGGAAAUAUGAAUAUUAUCCUCAACUACUCCCAUGUUCAUACCAUCCUGAGAGUUGGAGGCAUCAUGCUGCACCUUGGGUAUCCUUGAGGAGAAAUCCUUUGGUAAAGACUCUAGUCCUAUGGAUUGGCAGAAAUUCCCAGUCUGGUGUCUGACAGCUCCUCCUGUGCACGUUUUGAAUUUACUGGGCAUGUGUCAGACUCCUGAGGGGAAGACAUCUCCUGCUCUCCAAAGAACUGAGAUUCCAUCACAACGGAUUUCAAUUGUUCGAGAAUAACAAGUAGAAUUACCUUUAUUUUAAGUUGGCUUGGCAAUUAUAAUUCAUGUUGUGCCCUAUCACAAUUAUCAAAGUGAGGAACUCCUCACAAAGUAAACAAAGGUCUUUCAAUCCAUAAAAUUAGUAUCUCAAUUCAACUUAUUUUGAGUUUAUUUAUUUUGCUUUUGAGAACAAAAUGUCUAGUGUGUAGAUAGUUAAAAAUUAAAUGCAGUAGCUAUUUAUAAUGCCUGCAUUUUUCUGCAUACCUUAUGCUAUAUAUUAGUUACAUAACUCAAAUACUCAAGUCUAAGAGUCAGAGUGUUGGAAGGGACUUGGUCUGUACUUCUGAGUCUUCUGAGCCAGCAAGGCCACACUCUUUCCCCAUCAUUGCCUUGCCAGCAGUUAUUCUAUAUCCUAUAUUCAAGUUCAUCAGAUAAAGAAACUUGAACAGUUUCUAAUGAAGGAGAGCAGGCUCAAUAUCCUGUCCCGCUUUCUAAGAGGUGAGUGUGCUAUGCAGGGUCCAGGGAUGAGAUGUAGCCUGCUUUGUACCAGAUGCCUGUCAGUCACAGAAAUAACUGCUUGCUGUUUGACUAUAUGUAUAACUGGAUGCUAUGAAGUGGAGAAUAUUUAAGAGGACCUGAAACCAUGUCUCUUCUGGGACUUAAGAGUGUGUGGGCUUCUGAGAGCAGAGGAGGUACCAAGAAAACCCCACUGCAAGGAUAGCUGUGAAAGAAAAUAACCAGGGAAUUUGCUAGGCCAAUGUCCUCAGGACCUUAAGUUAGCAGUGUGUGGGAAACAACAAAGCCUGGUAAAUAUUAAUUAAAUUGCACACCAGAAACAGAGAUAAAGAACUAUAUAUUUGCUUCAAUAAGCAAGCACCUGCAAGAUUUCUUGUUUUCUGCCUGCAUAGUAGCAUCCUAAUCGUCAACCAUCAACUGUCCCUAGUCUCCCUUUCCAGGUACCAGAAUUUCUUACUUAUAAUGCGUUAAAUCAAGUUUAGCCUAAAGUUGCCUCCUUACAUAUUUUUGAGUUCAACCUAAACUUUUCUCUGUACAUUGUGAAUUAUAACAAGUGGAGGUGUAAACAGACUGUAGCCUACACUUGUGCCAGUCACUGAGUUUUGGCCAAUCAAAUGUAGCCAACUGUUCGAACCAUGUUCAAAUAAGGCAAACACCAAGAUGUAACCAAUCCAGCUGUUUCUGUACCUCACUUUCAUUUUCUGUAUGUCACUUUCCUUUUUCUGUCCAUAAAUCUUCUUCCACCACGUGGCUGUGCUGGAGUCUCUGAGCCUACUCUGGCUUGAAGGCUGCCCAAUCCAUGACUUGUUCAUUACUCAAACUCUUUUAAUUUGUUUGAAGUGUUUCUUAUAUCAAAUGCAACUUACAUUUUCAAAUGGCAUUGGAAUACAAACUAUUUUUUCAAAUAUCUUUUAUACUAUGUUCUAAAUGCAGCCAGCCCUCUGUAUCCAAGGGGUUCCACCUCCAUGGAUUCAACCAACCAUAAAAAUGUUCAGAGAAAUCAUUCCACAAAGUUACAAAAAGCAAAAACGGAACUGGAUACACAUCAAGUAUUAUGUUUAAUCCACAAGAAUUAAGUGAUGUAUAGGCAUUAUAUUAGGUAUCAUAAAUAACCUGGAGAUGUUUUAAAGUAUAUGGAAGGAUGCACAUAGGUUGAAUGAAAAUACUAGGCCAAUUAAUAUAAGGGACUUGAGUAUUUUGUAUCUGUAGGGGAUCCUGAAACCAGUUCCCCUCAGAUAUCAAGGGACAACUUUAAUGCACAAGAUGACCCAGGAUAUAUGUCUUAUUUCUACUUUAUUAUAACAAUUAAGAAAUCAUGGCUUGGUGGCCUCUGAUCUCUUUCACAAGUUAAAAUGUGAUCCUUCAGGGCUCUACAUGAAAGGUGAUGGUGAUGUGGGUUCCUUCCCUAAUUACAGGAACAGUCUAGACUACGGUAGCCCCAGACAACUACGGAGAUGUCUAGAUAAUGCAUUUACCUAAGAAAACAUCUCAGCUCA